UUUUUUUCUUUUUUGUUAUAGUUGAUUUAUAAUGUUUCUUCAAUUUCUGUUAUACAGCAAAGUGACCCAGUCGUAGAUAUACACGUACACUGUUUUUUUUUUUUUCCCAUACUAUCUUCCAUCAUGUUUCAGCCCAAGAGACUGGACAGAGUUCCUUGUGCUGUGCAGUAGGACCCCAUGGCUUAUCCAUCCAAAAUGUAAAAGUUUGCAUCUGAUAACCCCCACUCCCCCAUCAAUAUCUUUAAAUAGCAAAUGUGAUUUUUCUUUAACCAUUUCAGUUAAAAAAUCUUUAAUGACUUCCAAUUAUUCUUGGAACAAAGACCAAGGUUCUUUUUCCUCUAUGUGGUCACACUGGUGUGAUUGGUUAUCCUUUUGUCACUUGACUUACUCUACUGUCUCAGUUGUUGUCUCAAGAUUGCCAAGCUUGGCUCUCUCUAAGUUCCAGGGAAUCUUGUGCUUUUUCCAAGGAUCCUCACACGUGUUUUAUCCUUAGCCUGGAUUACCUCCUCCUUGUCCAACCACACCCCCACUGUAUUUCCACCCAUUAGAGCUCAUCUGAUGGUUAUUGCCUCAAACAACUCAUUGACACCAAGUCUAUAUCAAAUUUUCCUCUUCCUUCCCUUCCCCCUUUAUAGCACCUAAGAUGAGGAACAAUGUAAGCAGAUUUAUUCUUAAUGCCUAAUAGUAGGUAAAUCCAAUAAGGGCAGGGGCCAUGCUUGUCUUCUUCACCGCUCUAUCCUCAGUGGCAGUUCUGGUACACAUCAGCAGCAUGAGUCCAACCAGGGAUCAAACCCUCACCACAGCAGCAACCCAGGCCACUGCAGUGACAACACCAGAUCCUGCACCACAAGGGAACUCCUACAAAUAUUUUUAAUAAUGACACUUUCUCAUAUUUUUAAUUACUAUGUGACUAUUUUAUAAUUUAGGAUUACUUUUCAUUACUCUUACAUGACUCCCAUACACAUUAUAUUUAUGAAUUUACAACUGCUUUUUCCAUAAAAAGUAUGAAAGCUGCCCUUUCCUGUGUGAACCUUCACAUUUUUCUUUUAAUUUUCUGUUUUUAAUUUUAGGCAAUUUUUAAUAUUUGAAGCCUAAAAAUAAAUUGCUAAUAAUCACAAGAGAUAUUCAUGGAAAAAUGACAUGACACAUUCAACACAGAUAAUCAUCAAAGCAUUUAUUCAAACUUUCCUUCAAACAUAUUAUUAAUGCUAUCUUUAUGAAUUAGCAGAUAGCCAUUCACCAUUCUUUCCCUAGAAUGGAGUUAUCUGUAUAUGAAGUGCAAGUUCAAUGAUUUUUACAGAGUUCGUAUCUAUUUGUAACACAUAUAUGUGUUGUAAUGGGGAGAAAUGCAAUUAAAAUCUUAGAAAAAGACCGUGAAGAUGAUAGAAAAAAUAUAAGCUUAGAAAUGUUUAAAAUAUGACAGAAGGUGAAUGACUUUAUAAAACAAUUGAGAAAAUCUACCCCAUUCUAUGCUAUGACCAGUCCACAGAUAAAGUAUAGGUUUGAAUUUCCCACUGGUCUACUUUCAGGGCGCUUUGCACUAAUGGUCUUAUAAAGGCCACCUAGUACACUUUGCAUGGAAUGAGAUGGAAAGCUCCCAUGUCCUUGCUUUCCAGAAAGAUUCAGUUUAGCUCUGCCCUAAACUUUUGGCAAAAACAGAUGUCUCUUUCUGCUGUUAUCAUAGAUUAGUACAGUUAUGAACCUGAGGAUUAUGAAGACAGAUUCAAUACAAAAGCAUUCAUCCAUUUUGCUCUCAAGACCCCAGACUACUCGUGUAUAACACAGCAGAAAAUUUACCUCGUUCAUGUUUGUCAAAAUUAUAAAACUGAAAAAGAACAACACUCUUGAGAGAGGGUUUAAAAGUAAAUGUUAUUAAAAUAGUUUAAAGGUUAUUUGUAACUUACUAACCAAUGAGUUAAAUAAGUAAAACAGAUCAAACCAGUGGUAUGAAUUCAGAGUAGUGUGAUGGGUACCAGAUUAAAUUUAUCUGUAAAUGCAUUUAAACUGUUAUAUCCCUAUAAUAUGAACAAGAAUACAAAUACUUAGUCAUAUAUAUUAAGUCAUGAAUUCUUAGAUAUCAGAAAUAAGUUUUGAGAACUGAUAUAAUUGUGUCCUAUUUCAGUAUUUACUUAUUAAUCUUGUACCCGUAGAUUCCCAAUGAAAAAAUAUAUAUAUUGUUUCCACAAUACUGCAGAGUGCUGCAGCUCUUACAAUCAGAAAAUUGCACAUUUUACCUUCAAUUACCUUUUCCUAUUAUCUAAAACAAAGGUGUGUAUACUUUUACAACAUGCAAAAUAGGGUCUGUAUUUACUCCAUUCUGCUGUGGAUGUUAACUUAUUUUCAACAACUAUUAAAAAGCUAGUUUUUUCUUUUCACUUCAUGAAUGUGUUCAAUAUUUGCAUAAUGAUUCCUCUCAAAGAUGAGAGAAUGAAUGAGGGAUAAAUAAAUUGCAACCUCCCUGCAUAAUGACUCUACCUUUAAAGAUGGAUCACGCAUGGCCAUGCUCGAAUGCAUCCAAUCUAUCAAUAUUUAUUAAGCAGACAGAAAGUCAAUUGAACCAUAACUUGCUCUGUGCUAAGAAAGAAGAAACACAGAAAAGGAUAUGGGAGGAUUACUGAGAAGAAACUUAAGAACCCUCCCCAAAGUCAAUACCAGAAGCCCCUACUGAAUCUUUUUCCAAAUCUUUAUGGAAUUGAAUAAGCCAUCUACAAUGAAAAUUAAGAAAGAUAACUAUGAAAUGGCUAUGCCCUGCCAGAAAACCUUAUUGAGUUCUUCUAACAAGGAUCUUCAGUCUCCGUUUGUAAAGAUGUCCUGUACCAUUCACUUACAUCAUGCAAGAAUGUUAUGACAUUUAUUUCCCCAACUGGAACAUUUUCCUUGAGGACAUGGUCACUGCUUUCAUGUAUUUCGAGUUUCACAGAAAUGUGUUUAACAAGUGCAAACUAGUGGAUAGUGAAGAAUCAGUGUGAUAUAUAUGAAACUUAUCAUUCAUAUUCCACAACAAAAACAAAAUGCUCAUCUUAGGCAUGGCCUGACUCUCUCUUGAUUACAGUAAUAGUCAUGUUUGUUGAAAUGCUGUGUGCCAGCACUUCCUCUGUGUCAGUCAUUUAAUUCUGACACUUAAAUUUUAUAGCGUUCACAGUACAGAUAAGGAAAACGAAGUCUGAAGCAUUAUUUUAGUCCAGGUUAAACAAGGAAUACAACUGCCCCUCGAACAAUAUGGAGAUUAGGGACACUGACUCUCUGUGAAGUUGAAAAUCCACAUGAGAUUUUCAUCAGGCUUGCGUAUCUGCAUUUCUGCACCAGGGGUUCAACCAACCAAGCACAGAUCAUAUAAUACUGUAUAUUUACUAUUGACAAAAAAUGCUUAUAAGUGGACUCUUGCAGCUCGAACCCCUGUUGCUUCAGGGUCAACUGGAAUUAGAAAUUCAAGGCAUUAGACACAGGUUUUUCUGAUUCCACAGACCAUGGUUUUGGUCACUUCACUAUACGUCUUGCAUCAGUGAUGACAUUAAAAAAACUAUAUGAAUAAUACUUUGAAAAGAUUUAAUAAUUUAAAUUUUUAGCUGUCACUCUCCACUUGACAAUUUAAAAUAUAGUCCCAUAUACAUUGAAGGCCAUGCUUGUUGAAAAUAUCUGUCCCUAGAUGAUGAGAAAAAACAGAGGCAAGUUACUAAACUUCCUACCACCCUAUUUUCUGUAACUGUACAUGCAUAUACAUUGCUUCAGGAUUUUUUUUUUUAAGGUUUUUUUCGUCUAAGUGUUUCCUUUCUGUGUUUUCUAUUUUUACCUCCUCUCAUCCAAGCACCUUUAUCUGGCUCAGUUUGUGGGUGUUUGUGGAUCUUAUUUCAUACAAGUUUGAGCCCAGGGAAUAGGAAACAUUGAUAAUGACGGAAUCUGAAUGCAAGACUUAGAUAAAUAGUAAAAACAAAAUUUCUUAAACAGCUGUCACUUUUCAUCACUUAUGUCAUCUCAACAAAGGAACAGUGUAAGAGUCUGAGGAAAUAUGUCAAAUUUCACCUUCUGGUGAAAAGUGACAUUUUACCAUGAGGCAAAUGGCUACAUAGCAGGCGUUUUCAAUAACCUGUGACUCUCUUUCAUUGACUUUGGCUCUCUUGCUCUCUAAGAUUUGUGUCGAAAAAAACAAAACCCACUAUGUUAUACUCGUCUAAAUUAAUUGGUCCCAGGGACACUGGACAACUAAGCUCAAAUACAGACUAAUAAGACAGCAGGCUGAAGGUGAGCCAAGAAGGAAAAAGGGAUUUGAUGUUACAGGUAAGGCCCCCUAGGGCCACCAUUCACUACAUGCCUUCUGUUUAGAUGAAGAAUGGAGAGCAGAGUCUGAGCAAGAUUAGCUGUAAGAGAAGUAAGGGGGACACAUUCAGAGUCAAGUCUCCAUUAGACGGCCUCCCACAGGAAGCCUCCUCUUGUCUGAAUGCAUUUAACCAUCUCUAAGGAAUCUUCAACUUUAUCCAGUCUGGGCACUGCCCUUUGUGUUCCUUUCUCCCCUAUUUACUCCCUUUCUUAUCCUCUUGAACAUCUCAAAGUGAUCUUUAGUUUUCAAUGAUGUUCUGUAGAUACUGAAUCUGAGACUUCCAAGCCACAGGCCAGGGUAGCAGGUGGGGAAAUACAAGUUCCACUGCUUACCAGUUUCUGGUUUCACACAAGAUCUCACUUAAAAGAGAGAGGAAAAAAAAAAAAAAAAAAAAAAAAAAGACUUCUACUUUUGAAAAAAAAAAUUCCCAAGCUUUGAAAAACAUUGGUCUAUUCACACUUCAUUUAAUUUCUUACUGCUCAUUUACUCUACAGCAUCUUGCAAUCUUGUUUCCAAUCUCACAACCCAAUUGAAACAAUCUUUUAAGAGUCACAGCUGGACUUAAUGGAUAAGGCCAUUUAUUUGCGCUCCUCAGUCCAUAUCUUUUCCCAUCUCUCUAUAUCACUUGACACAACUGACAGGACCCUCCUUCAAAACACUCUUCCUUACUUUACCCUUCUUCGGCAGUGUGCUAUCCCAGUUAUGCUACUCGAAAAGCUAUUCCCCAGACUUCUUCACCAAAUCGCAUUCUCCAUGGGCAAGGCAGUCCCCAGCCAGGCAAGAAAUAGUAUACUUGGCAUCUGAUGACAUGGGGCCAACCAGGCAUUUUUUGAUAUGUUUGACUAUAUUUGAUAGAAAAUCUGAGUCAUGAAUGCAAUAGGUGCUUAAUAAUUGAUUGUGAAGAAAAGAAUCAAUAUAAUGAAUGAAUAUAUUCUUAGAAGAAGUAUGGAUAUAAACUUAACGACACAUUUGAAAUCUUUGUUUUGGAAUGAUAUUCUUUGAAGUAAAAUGCAAUUUGCUCUAAAACCUUGACAAUCUAGUUUCUUGACCCAUGAAACUUUCACAGUGGUGCUGUAUGAAGCAAAGAAUACAAAAAUCACCAGUAGAUUCAGUCUAAGCAACGUGCUGAAGGUCACGACUGAGGGACAGAUAGCUUAUUUUUCAAUGUGUACUGAAGAACAGUUUUGUUGACUGAGUGUCCUGUCUUUUUUUUUUUUUUUCUUUUUAAGGCUGCAUCUGUGUCAUAUAGAAGUUCCCAGGCUAGGGAUCAAAUCAGAGC
rnacentral:lncRNA from 1 species